GAAAUGCGAUAAGUAAUGUGAAUUGCAGAAUUCAGUGAAUCAUCGAAUCUUUGAACGCACAUUGCGCCCGCCAGUAUUCUGGCGGGCAUGCCUGUCCGAGCGUCAUUUCAACCAUCAAGCCCCCGGGCUUGUGUUGGGGACCUGCGGCUGCCCGCAGGCCCUGAAAACCAGUGGCGGGCUCGCUGUCACACCGAGCGUAGUAGCAAUCACCUCGCUCAGGGAGUGCUGCGGGUUCCGGCCGUUAAACAGCCUUACAAAACCCAAGGUUGACCUCGGAUCAGGUAGGAAGACCCGCUGAACUUAAGC
rnacentral:misc_RNA from 1 species